GGGACGUCUGAGCGCGGAGCGGAGGCGAGGCCGAGCGCUAAUCCCCAGGCUCUCGGGGGAAUAGGACUAUAAGGAAGGCAGGUGGAAAUCUAGGUGCUGAGAGUGAGCGUGACCACGGACACACAACCAGCAAGGAAAUGGGGACCUCAGUCUUACCGUGGCAGAAAACAGUCCUGUCCCAGCCGUGACAGCUUGGAAGAUGACCCUGAGGCCCAGAGGAGAGUGUAGGCUCGUUGGCAUGUUGGCCUCAGCCUUAAGAGACCUUGAGCAGGGAAUCCAGCCAAGCCACGCCCAGACUUCUCACCUCCAGAACAGUAAGAUAAGAGGUCCCAGGCAUGCCGCUGGACGACUGGGGACACACAGAGACAAGUAGGACACAGUGUCCACCCUCCAGAAACGGACGAACGUGUGGGAGCAGCCGAGGGAUGGACACACAUACGUAAAUGACUAUCGCAAAGCUGUAGUGAAAAAUGAGGUUAUCCCGGUGCAAAGGAAGGGGUGGGGGAAACACUGGAUCCUUGAGUGUGAGAGAGAGACAGAGACGUAGUGCCCACCAGAGAGCAAGAGUCACCACAUCACCGAUUGAUACGUGCCCUCUUUGUUGAAACCGAAGGAUUAACUUGGUAAACAAAUGAACGAGGUAGUUGAAUUUCCGGUGUGGGAGACAGAAGGUCACACGCUUCCUGGAAAGUCUACGUGGAGAGACGAGGGCCGUGUGGAGGCCCCUCCAAGGACUGUGAAUUUUAUCCUAGGAGGCACUGAGGAUUUAAUAAAAUGCCAUAACCAGGGAAAUUGUACGGUGACAUAUGGAAAGUUCCAAAGUGAUAUUUGAAAACAACCAACUAUAUCUGUAGCACCCAUAAAGUGAUACUACAGUGUCCCCGCGGGAUUUUAUGUUCGUUCAAUUCUGCAAAGACUGCUUUUUCCUUGUGAGUGUGCAAAUCCAUUCACCAGGAAAAUUGGGUUAAGAUAAUCAGAUUACAGAAAUACCGUUCCCAGACAGAGCGACCCUUGUGGUUCUGAACAUGUGUGUUUGUUUAACAGCUCACACCAUACAUUCGAGCUAUCGUUCUAUUUGUGGGAGAACUGAGUCCAUUUAUCUCUUAGAAAAAUUAAAUCAUGUUCCCAAUAAAGACAAAAUUAAUAAGUAGCAAAAUUAAUUAAUAUACAGGGUAGUAGGAAAUGCUUAUUAGCUUGUAGCAUGUGAGAGGGCAGUUUUUCAGUUGCUACUACUCAGGGGGCUGUGUGUGUAGGAAAGUAGGAAAAAGGGGGGGCUAUCAGCAUGAGCAAGGAGAAAACAUUUUAUCGAUGCAUCAUCUUUAACAGUAAAAAUUGAUGAUGCUAUACUCAGAAAAUGAAGAGUAGUGUGUUUGGGGCGCCUGGGCGGCUUGGUGCGUUGAGUGUCCUACUUUGGCUCAGGUUAUGAUCUCAUAGUUCACAGGUUCGAGCCCCACGUCAGGCUCUUGGCUGUCAGCACAGAGCCCACUUUGGAUCCUGUCUCCCUCUCUCUUUCUGCCCCUCCCCCAUUUGUGCACGUGUGUGUGUGUGUGUGUGUGUGUGCUCUCUCUCUCUCUCAAAAGUAAAAAAAAGAGUAGUGUGAUUAAUCAAAAUUCCCUGAAUACUAUGCUGUAUCUCGCCAGAUAGACUUAUCUGUACAUUCAAUGCAAUUCCAACAAUUUUCAGGGUAAAAGUUGAUGAGUUGAUCUUAAAAUUCAUAUGAAACAAAUAUUUCAAGAUUUAAAAUGACCAAAACACAACAAAAACUAUGGUCCUGGACUGUCAACCCUCAAGUGUACUGUAAGGCUAUAAUAAUUAAGCCAAUGUGAUCAUUUCCUUUUUAAAAAUGGGCCAAGGAAAACACAUAGUUUAGAAGCCAAUCCUCAUCUAUGUGGAAAUGUAAUUUAUUAUAAAAGUAGCAUUUCAAAUUAUUGGCGAACUAAUGUUCACAAAUCAGAAGCAAAUUUAUGUAAUACAGAUUUUAAAUAUAUUGUAUAUGUUUAUUCAAAUAUAACAUAUGUAUAUGUAUAUGAUGUUUUCCCCACUUUUCAAUAUGCUGAAAUAUACAUAACAUAAAGUUUACUGUGUAACCAUUUCUCAAUGUAUAGUUUGGUGACAUUAAGUCCACUCACGUUGUGCGAAAAUCCCACCAUCCCUCUCUAUUACUUUUCCAUAACUGAUACUCUGUCCCCAUUAUACAGUAGCUGACUUCUCCCCUCCCCCAGCCCCUGGGAACCCCCAUCCUCCUUUCUGUAUGUAUGCCUUUGACUUCUCUGGGUACGUCGUUUAAGAGCAAUUCUACAGUAUUUGUCCUGUGACUGGCUUAUUUCACUUUGCGUAGUGUCCUCAAGGUUCCAUGCCGUAGCAUGUAUCACAACUUUCUUCCUUAAGGCUGAAUCAUAUUCCAUUGUGUGUAUAUAAUCACAUUUUGUUUACGCAUGCAUCUCUUGAUGGAUACUCAGGUGGCUUCUCUCUUUUGGCUCUUGUAAGACCACUGUGCUUAUUGGUGCACAAAUACGUAUUUGAGUCUCUGCUUUCAAUUCUUUGGGGUACAGAACCAGCAGGGAACUUGCUGGGUGAUAUAGUCAUCCUGUUUCACCACAGAGAAUAUUUUGUAAACAUAUAACACAGAGCUGGGAUCCAUAACAUGCAAAGACUCCCUAAAGGUCAAUAGAAAUACCAAAAUUCCAACACAAAAUGACAAAAACAAAGACAUUCAUCUUUGCUAAUAAAAUUCACUUUUGCCUAUCAAAUUGGCCAAACUUAAGAGAUUGGUAAUACUCCUUCAUGUCGACGUUGUCCUAAGUGGGCUCUCCUAAAUACAAGUAGGUGCGUAAGUUGUUCAUCUUUUGUA